rnacentral:lncRNA from 1 species
AGCUUCUGCCCGCGCGGAGAUAAACAAGCACCGCGACCGCCGAGCAGCGCCGAACCCAGCGCGCCCAGUCAGACCCCAGGGCCUGUGUACCGAGCAUGCGCAGUUCCCGCCCAAGCCAGGAGCAGCGUCAACCUGAGACUCCCGAGACAUUAAGAAUUCGGAAGGGAUGAGAUGGUAGAGGGGCUAGAGCUACCUCCAAGCUUUAUCCUGAGGCGGGGAGUGAAGGAGAGAUGCCCAAGGCCCAAGAGGGGCCGCGAGGGCCUUUGUCCGAUGCCACCCAGUCUGUCAGCACUCCUAGAGCUUUGGUUUUAUCUUGUAUUAGCAUGUGAAGCUUUAAGGGGGGGGCACCUACAGGCUUCUGACUGAAGUUGUGUAAACGCAACAAAAUGAAGCUUUGGAGCGUUAGGACAUUGAUGGGAGGGUGACGCCCCCCUCUAGCAGCGCGCCAGAGGGGCGAGUCAGAGGCGGCCACACACCACGGAAGUCGGGUCCAAGCCCGCUGACGUCGCCGGGGUCCCGCCCACCAACCCUCUGGACCCGCCCACAUUUCUUCUAGACCCGCCCCUUUCGGUGCCGAACUGAAGUCGAGCUCUUCCCACGCCCUGUCAGCCACGGGUGAGUUGAAAACCUGGAGAGCGGAAUCCCGAACGGCAGCCGGAAGGCCCUGGACUCCUCAUAGCAACAGCCAGCUAGGGGCAUCUAGUGGGAAGCUGGGAUUCAUUCUAGCCAACCACAUCACGUCUCUGUACCACAAGGUACCAUUCACGACCAAUAAGAGAGCGCCCCCAUACCACGUGCCUUUACUCCUUCAACCAAUCGAGAAAAACGCUAGUCGUAGGAUCCGCAAGCCCACCUCCCAGUGCCUUGCCAGGCGGGGCUCUUCGCGCACGCUCUGCCAACCAAUCGUAGGUGAGCUGGCGAGUGACGGAAGCUUCGGCCAAGCCAACCAGAGCUCGCGAGCCCCUUGCCACCGAGGCCGGCGGGAUGGAGACAGGGACCGGCUGCUGGGGUUUGGGAGGGGCAGAGAUUGAGGAGCCAGUUGCUGUGCCCUGUUCUGGCAAAAGAACAAGAUGCGUUGCAAGCCAGAAUGAUGAAUUCCACUUUUCACGUCGCCUCCGUGGCAUUCUGCCUAAAUGAUGGGCAUGGAAAUGGUGCUGAGGGAUGUGGGCUGAAUCGAGAACACAGGGACUUUUGUCUUCAGGGUGAGAAAUGUUCCGGUCCUUAAGGAAACAUCGUGCAGCAGUUGCAUGGGUCUUCCAGGCGUUCCUCCCAAAACAUUAUUUUUUUUCUUUCACUAUUGAGUUUUAAAACUUAGCGUUCUGUCGCUAGCAUUGCAUCUUAGUUACACAUCCUCUCCCACCCAUAACGUCAAAUUUAGGAGACGAUACAUCCCCAAGCUUUCCUGCAUUAUUUUUUGCAGUAACUGGUUAUUCAGUUUACUUUCUUUAAACUAUGUCCUUCUCAAACUAGUCUCACCUGUUCGUUACUGUCGCACAUUUCCUGCGAAUAACACGUUUCUGUAGUUCUGUUGUUAGAGCCUGGCAUACCUCUCCCCGUUCCUCUUUCCCACAAGGUCAUCAUGCAGAGGGGAUUUUGGUCUGAGUUAAAAGCCAGGUAUUCUUUCACCAUCUUUUCUGUCGAUAGUCAAACUACUACAAAGACUACUCAAAUUUAGUAGUUUCUUAUUUCCCUAUAGCUUCGUUAUAUUAGAAUGGAUAACUUAUAUUUGCAUUACCUUGCUGUAAUGAACACACACCAAGUUUUCAUUUAAAAUUAUCAAGGACAAAUGUCCUCUGAAUUUAAAAAUGUGUAUGUAGUAAAAUAUAACUCAGCAUUUCUUGAUUACAUAUCAUUAAAAUAUGAAUGGUACUAUCUGAGCCACCAGAAUCAGCAGUGAAGGUAUUAUAUUAAUAAAAAGGACUAAGAAUCAGGACUGUUUUAAGGGAACUGGAACCGAAGAGGAUCUACUAUUUCAUCCUAGGCUAGUUAACAUGAAAUAGUGAAUUAAAAUUGAAAGAGCUUACAUGGAUGCUUCAUAUCUGAGCUACUUUGGCAGGGAUGUUUCAAGAGGAUGUAGGGAACAGUGUGUUCUGUACUA